rnacentral:rRNA from 1 species
UACGAAGGGGGGCUAGCGUUGCUCGGAAUCACUGGGCGUAAAGGGCGUGUAGGCGGGGACAGUAAGUCGGGCGUGAAAUCCCUGGGCUCAACCCAGGAACUGCACUCGAAACUACUAUUCUUGAGUGUCGGAGAGGAAAGCGGAAUUCCUGGUGUAGAGGUGAAAUUCGUAGAUAUUAGGAGGAACACCAGUGGCGAAGGCGGCUUUCUGGACGAUAACUGACGCUGAGACGCGAAAAGCGUGGGGGAGCAAACAGG